rnacentral:rRNA from 1 species
GACGGAGGUGGCAAGCGUUGUUCGGAAUUACUGGGCAUAAAGGGCACGCAGGUGGUCGAGCAGGUCAGUGGUGAAAGCCCCCGGCUUAACCGGGGAACUGCCUUUGAAACCUCUCGACUUGAGUGGAAGAGGGGAGAGUGGAACUCGCAGUGGAGCGGUGAUAUGCGUAGAUAUUGCGAGGAACGCCGAUGGCGAAAGCAACUCUCUGGCUUCUAACUGACACUGAGGUGCGAAAGCCAGGGGAGCAAACGGGAUUAGAUACCCCCGUA